GCGUCCAUGGAUCUAGCUGUUGGAGGAUCGACCCCUUCAGUAGCGAAGCUAACGCGUUAAGUAUCCCGCCUGUGGAGUACGGCCGCAAGGCUAAAACAUAAAGGAAUUGACGGGGACCCGCACAAGCGGUGGAUCAUGUUCUUUAAUUCGAUGAUAAACGAAGAACCUUACCAGGGUUUGACAUCCCGAGAAGGCCUCCGAAAGGAGACUGUGCUUUAUUGAACUCGGUGACAGAUGAUGCAUGGCCGUCGUCAGCUCGUGUCGUGAGAUGUUUGGUUAAGUCCAUCAACGAGCGCAACCCUUGUCAGUAGUUGUAUUUUUCUACUGAGACUGCCCCGGUAACGGGGAGGAAGGAGGGGAUGAUGUCAGGUCAGUAUUUCUCUUACAUCCUGGGCUAGAAACGUGAUACAAUGGCAAGUACAAUGCGCAGCGAAGCCGCGAGGUGAAGCAAAUCGCAUCAAAGCUUGUCCCAGUUCGGAUAAGAGGCUGAAACUCGCCUCUUUGAAGUCGGAAUCGCUAGUAAUCGCAAGUCAGCAAAUUGCGGUGAAUACGUUCCCGGGUCUUGUACACACCGCCCGUCAAGCCAUGAAAGUCACCAACACCCGAAGUCCGAUUCGUCGGCCUAAGGUGGGGGGGAUGAUUGGGGUUAAGUCGUAACAAGGUACCAAUCCCGCGGCC
rnacentral:rRNA from 1 species